UCGNNCGGAAGGCCCUUCGGGGUACUCGAGUGGCGAACGGGUGAGUAACACGUGGGUGAUCUGCCCUGCACUUUGGGAUAAGCCUGGGAAACUGGGUCUAAUACCGGAUAGGACCACGCGCUUCAUGGUGUGUGGUGGAAAGCUUUUGCGGUGUGGGAUGGGCCCGCGGCCUAUCAGCUUGUUGGUGGGGUAAUGGCCUACCAAGGCGACGACGGGUAGCCGGCCUGAGAGGGUGACCGGCCACACUGGGACUGAGAUACGGCCCAGACUCCUACGGGAGGCAGCAGUGGGGAAUAUUGCACAAUGGGCGCAAGCCUGAUGCAGCGACGCCGCGUGAGGGAUGACGGCCUUCGGGUUGUAAACCUCUUUCAAUAGGGACGAAGCGCAAGUGACGGUACCUAUAGAAGAAGGACCGGCCAACUACGUGCCAGCAGCCGCGGAANUACGUAGGGUCCGAGCGUUGUCCGGAAUUACUGGGCGUAAAGAGCUCGUAGGUGGUUUGUCGCGUUGUUCGUGAAAACUCACAGCUUAACUGUGGGCGUGCGGGCGAUACGGGCAGACUAGAGUACUGCAGGGGAGACUGGAAUUCCUGGUGUAGCGGUGGAAUGCGCAGAUAUCAGGAGGAACACCGGUGGCGAAGGCGGGUCUCUGGGCAGUAACUGACGCUGAGGAGCGAAAGCGUGGGGAGCGAACAGGAUUAGAUACCCUGGUAGUCCACGCCGUAAACGGUGGGUACUAGGUGUGGGUUUCCUUCCUUGGGAUCCGUGCCGUAGCUAACGCAUUAAGUACCCCGCCUGGGGAGUACGGCCGCAAGGCUAAAACUCAAAGGAAUUGACGGGGGCCCGCACAAGCGGCGGAGCAUGUGGAUUAAUUCGAUGCAACGCGAAGAACCUUACCUGGGUUUGACAUGCACAGGACGCCGGCAGAAAUGUCGGUUCCCUUGUGGCCUGUGUGCAGGUGGUGCAUGGCUGUCNNCAGNUCGUGUCGUGAGAUGUUGGGGUUAAGUCNNNNAACGAAGCGCAACCCUUNG
rnacentral:rRNA from 1 species